GAACUGACCCGAUAAAUUAGGUGGUCGACACCAUCCUUUUCAUCCUAGUCUGCCCACGAUGCAUUGUCUGUUCACUGUGACAGGAUAUUUAUUGAAGUCCUGAAAAUUUACGUGUGUACCUAGUAUGUAUCAUCACCGUAGAUGAUGUAAACCUCCAUCCUCAAACCAUACUUUGUCUAUGUGCAGAUCGAUGUAAGAGUGGUAGUGCCAUCAUGGUGUACAGGCCUAUGGAAGGUGCAGUGAUCCAUGGAAUUUGCAAACUGCUGACAAUGAGACAGGCGAGUGUUACUGAGGCGACGGAGUCAUUCCUGCAUGUUAUUACGACACGGUUACACAAGGCAUCAGGUACUGCAAAUCUGCUAUGCCAGGAAGUGUGCCAGCUGAAGGCAUGCAAGGGUGCUGAUAUUUCGCAAGCAUGGCAACAAAUGCUGUCCGUCAUCGCAACAGCUAUUCCCGAAGUGAAAAUCAAUUGUGAAGAUUUGGAAGUUACAUCUGCAGUGCUAGCGAAUCUGAUAAGCUACCUGCAUGCCACGGCUGCCGCUGCUAUCAGGAAAGCGUCAAUAGCACCAUCCAAAGCUGCUGAAGCCAUCCCCGAACCGGUGAUUGACAAUUUGUCUCACCUUGCUGAAAAGUACCAUGGUGGUUGGUGCUUGGUGGCCGUGCGGCGUGAGCUGGAAGGAGCAAGGUGUCGCAACGACAACUUGCUGCAGCUUAUACCUUUAUUUGGCAAGGAUGCCGUGACAAGCCUUCAGCCUUGUUUGGAGAAUUUUGGAGCCAUUCUCCAAACAUCUGAGCAUCAAGCGUUGCCCAGAAAUGACCAACCGCUCCGUGACCAUGGCUAUGCAGCACCCAUAGCUGCAACACAGCAUGAAGAGCAGAAGCAUACGUUUGUACUUGUGCCUGCUGCAUGCUCCUUGUUUCACCAGCUUAAUUUAAUAACCCAUUCCCAGUUCCCCAGCAUGCUCAACACACACAAGCAACACGCCGUGAGUGCAAUGCAAGCUCUGUAUAAGACAAAAUACGACACAGAUAAAAACAACUGAACCAGUGA